rnacentral:rRNA from 1 species
AUUGAACGCUGGCGGCAUGCCUUACACAUGCAAGUCGAACGGCAGCACGGGAGCAAUCCUGGUGGCGAGUGGCGAACGGGUGAGUAAUAUAUCGGAACGUGCCCAGUAGUGGGGGAUGGCCCGGCGAAAGCCGGAUUAAUACCGCAUACGACCUGAGGGUGAAAGCGGGGGAUCGCAAGACCUCGCGCUAUUCGAGCGGCCGAUAUCAGAUUAGCUUGUUGGUGGGGUAAAAGCCUACCAAGGCGACGAUCUGUAGCUGGUUUGAGAGGACGACCAGCCACACUGGGACUGAGACACGGCCCAGACUCCUACGGGAGGCAGCAGUGGGGAAUUUUGGACAAUGGGCGCAAGCCUGAUCCAGCCAUGCCGCGUGCGGGAAGAAGGCCUUCGGGUUGUAAACCGCUUUUGUCAGGGAAGAAACGGCUCUUGAUAAUACCGAGAGCUAAUGACGGUACCUGAAGAAUAAGCACCGGCUAACUACGUGCCAGCAGCCGCAGUAA